CCAGCAAUGCAGUGCAAUGCAGGUCCACAUCAGCUUCCUAAUUUCUCUUUAUUCUUUCUCAUUCAGCAGUUGGUCAGUUGUCCUCCGCUGAUGUUGUGUAAUUCCCUUUGUCAGCAGUUCAGGGAGAGCGCUGGCAGGUUGGACAGGGAUUAGAGAUGGACAGCAAGAGCUGGGAAGUGUGAAGAAGGUUCUGCCAAAUUUCAAGGCAAUUGGACUGCUGAGAGCAGCUCCACAGUGGAGCCCUUCAAGGCUCUGGAAGUGCUCCCAGGAGAGUUUGCCAUGGCAGAAGAAGCAUUUCCAUGCUGCCCCUUCCACUGCUCUGAGUAUUUCCGGGGUAAAACCACUGAAGAGCACUACCUAAAGGCUGCUACCUGCAGCUGAGCACAGGGACCAGUGGGAAAGGAUGUUGGAUCAGCAUUGUCUGUCCCUGUGCUGGUACUGUUCUCCCUGGGAGGGAGCUGGGAAAUCUGUAUUUCUGCUGCUGUGCUCCUCCUCAUGUUUGUCACAGCUGAUGCCGGCCCGUUUUCUCACUGAUGAUUCUGGACCUCUGCGUGUACCUGCUGGCCUUGGAAAUACCACUGGUGGUUAUUAAGAAAGGAGAAGGCAAGUCCCACCAGUUCCGUGUGGAAACGGAAUCGUGUGGCCGUCCCUCAGUGCAGCUCUUUUGGUGACAGCGGUCGGUGGCCAUUCCUGGGGCAGUUCUGUUACCGUUUUUCCUUAGACCAUUCUAUUUUAUUCCCUUCACACUUC